rnacentral:rRNA from 1 species
UACGUAGGGUGCAAGCGUUAAUCGGAAUGACUGGGCGUAAAGGGUGUGUAGGCGGUUUGUUAAGUCUGAUGUGAAAUCCCCGGGCUUAACCUGGGAACUGCGUUUGAAACUGGGAGGCUAGAGUGUGGAAGAGGGGGGUGGAAUUCCGUGUGUAGCAGUGAAAUGCGUAGAUAUGCGGAGGAACACCGAUGGCGAAGGCAAUCCCCUGGGCCUGCACUGACGCUCAUGCACGAAAGCGUGGGGAGCAAACAGG